rnacentral:rRNA from 1 species
AGAACGAACGCUGGCGGCAUGCCUAACACAUGCAAGUCGAACGAACUCUUCGGAGUUAGUGGCGCACGGGUGCGUAACGCGUGGGAAUCUGCCCCUUGGUUCGGAAUAACAGUUGGAAACGACUGCUAAUACCGGAUGAUGACGAAAGUCCAAAGAUUUAUCGCCAAGGGAUGGGCCCGCGUAGGAUUAGCUAGUUGGUGAGGUAAAGGCUCACCAAGGCAACGAUCCUUAGCUGGUCUGAGAGGAUGAUCAGCCACACUGGGACUGAGACACGGCCCAGACUCCUACGGGAGGCAGCAGUAGGGAAUAUUGGACAAUGGGCGAAAGCCUGAUCCAGCAAUGCCGCGUGAGUGAUGAAGGCCUUAGGUUGUAGAGCUCUUUACCCGAGAUGAUAAUGAACAGUAGUCGGGAAGAAGUAACGCCCCCGGACUAACCGUCCGUUAGCCAGCAGCCCGC